CAAUGGGAUUUAUCACUCAAUUCCCACAUCGAAUUUAUGGAAUCCUGGCUGGAAUUCUUCCAGGAUCCAAAAAGAGAUUUGGGAUUUGGGAUUUUUGGGAAAAUUGGGAAUUUUCCCUCCCCUUCUGACAGAUCCUCCCUUUUCCCCCAGGAUAUGGCACCUGGAGCACCGGGGCCACCGGCACCCAGGGUUCCAAUGCCACGAACGCUCCCAGCUGGCAAGGCUAUGAGGGAUACGCCCAGCCCAGCGCAGGAGCCUCCGCCGGCUGCGGGGGAGGGGCAGCCCCGAGCGGCUCCUGGGAUCGUGGCCAGGCCGCGGAGCCGGGGCUGGGACCCGGCGAGGGACCCGCGGGGCCGGGAACUGCCUUAGCAGGAGCAGUUGCGGGACCCUCCCCGGCGCUGGGCUCCUUUGACCUGGGGCUCGAGGACGAUCUCUCCCUCCUGGAGGAGGUGCUGGCCCGGGACAGCGCGGCGGGGGGCGC